AACGAACGCUGGCGGCAGGCCUAACACAUGCAAGUCGAGCGACGACUUCGGUUCUAGCGGCGGACGGGUGAGUAACGCGUGGGAAUGUGCCCUUCUCUACGGAAUAGCCCUGGGAAACUGGGAGUAAUACCGUAUACGCCCUAUUGGGGAAAGAUUUAUCGGAGAAGGAUCAGCCCGCGUUGGAUUAGGUAGUUGGUGGGGUAAUGGCCUACCAAGCCGACGAUCCAUAGCUGGUUUGAGAGGAUGAUCAGCCACACUGGGACUGAGACACGGCCCAGACUCCUACGGGAGGCAGCAGUGGGGAAUCUUAGACAAUGGGGGCAACCCUGAUCUAGCCAUGCCGCGUGAGUGAUGAAGGCCUUAGGGUUGUAAAGCUCUUUCAGCUGGGAAGAUAAUGACGGUACCAGCAGAAGAAGCCCCGGCUAACUCCGUG
rnacentral:rRNA from 1 species